rnacentral:rRNA from 1 species
GACGAACGCUGGCGGCGUGCCUAAUACAUGCAAGUCGAACGCAGUGGGGACGGGUGAGUAACACGUGGGUAACCUCCCAUCAGAGGGGAUAACACUUGGAAACAGGUGCUAAACCGAUACUGAUGGAUGGACCCGCGGUGCAGUAGCUAGUUGGUGAGGUAACGGCUCACCAAGGCCACGAUGCAUAGCCAACCUGAGAGGGUGCGCUGCCACUCUGGGACUGAGACACGGCCCAGACUCCGACGAGAGGCAGCAUUAGGGAAUCUUCGGCCAUUGACAAAAGUCUGACCGAGCAACGCCGCGUGAGUGGAGAAGGUGUUCGGAUCGUAAAACUCUGUUGUUAGAGAAGCGGUAUCUAACCAGAAAGCCACGGCUAACGACGUGCCAGCAGCCGGGUAAUUC